AACGAACGCUGGCGGCGUGCCUAAUACAUGCAAGUCGAGCGCAGGAAAUCGACGGAACCCUUCGGGGGGAAGUCGACGGAAUGAGCGGCGGACGGGUGAGUAACACGUAAAGAACCUGCCCUCAGGUCUGGGAUAACCACGAGAAAUCGGGGCUAAUACCGGAUGGGUCAUCGGACCGCAUGGUCCGAGGAUGAAAGGCGCUCCGGCGUCGCCUGGGGAUGGCUUUGCGGUGCAUUCGCUAGUUGGUGGGGUAAUGGCCCACCAAGGCGACGGUGGAAAGGCGACCUGAGAGGGGGAUCGGCCAAACUGGGACUGAGAAACGGCCCAGACUCCUACGGGAGGCAGCAGUAGGGAAUCUUCCACAAUGGACGAAAGUCUGAUGGAGCAACGCCGCGUGAACGAUGAAGGCCUUCGGGUCGUAAAGUUCUGUUGUAAGGGAAGAACAAGUGCCGCAGGCAAUGGCGGCACCUUGACGGUACCUUGCGAGAAAGCCACGGCUAACUACGUGCCAGCCGCCGCCGUAACAC
rnacentral:rRNA from 1 species